GAAAAGAAAAUCACAAUGAUUCCUCUAGUAACUGCGAGUGANGAGGGAAAAGCUCAAAUUUUAAAUCUGUUAGGUUUACCUAACCGAGUUGUAAUUUGAAGAAGCGUUUUCUGCGAAUUUGGUUAGUCCAAAUCCUUUGGAAUAAGGUAUCAUGGAGGGUGAGAAUCCCGUUCGGUUAACCAAAGCGCUUUACGAUACGCUUUCAAAGAGUCAAGUUGUUUGGGAUUGCAGCUUAAAAUGGGAGGUAAAUUUCUCCUAAGGCUAAAUAUUGGCGAGAGACCGAUAGCGAACAAGUACCGUGAGGGAAAGAUGAAAAGAACUUUGAAAAGAGAGUUAAACAGUACGUGAAAUUGUUGAAAGGGAAACGAUUAAAGUCAGUCGUACCUACGAGUAAUCAACCUACUCGAGUGCGAUUUUGUGGGUAUGUUAGAGUUUAAACCUUCAUGCUUACAAAUUGGUGCUCUUUGGGCGUACUUUCUCGUAUGGUAGGUUAACAUCAAUUUCGGUCGUUAUAAAAUGACUGGAGGAAUGUAGCUUCGACCUCGGUUGAAGUGUUAUAGCCUUUGGUAGAUGUAAUGAUUGGGAUUGAGGAUUGCAACGGAUACCCUCUGGGCUAUUCGUCUGAUCUCUGGAAGUUACCUUGGUGUCGAAAGCGUGCUUACGAUAUUAAGGUUGACGGCCAAUAGGUUAGAACGUGAUUAAAUUCGUAAGGAUGUUGACGUAAUGGCUUUAAACGACCCGUCUUG
rnacentral:rRNA from 1 species